rnacentral:rRNA from 1 species
UACGUAGGUGGCAAGCGUUGUCCGGAUUUAUUGGGUUUAAAGGGUGCGUAGGCGGUCUUUUAAGUCAGUGCUGAAAUAUCCCGGCUUAACCGGGAGGGUGGCAUUGAUACUGAAGGACUUGAGUAAAGUUGAGGUUGGCGGAAUUGACGGUGUAGCGGUGAAAUGCUUAGAUAUCGUCAAGAACACCGAUAGUGCAGACGGCUAACUAAGCUUUAACUGACGCUGAGGCACGAAAGUGUGGGGAUCAAACAGG